UACGUAGGACCCAAGCGUUAUCCGGAGUGACUGGGCGUAAAGAGUUGCGUAGGCGGUUCGUAAAGCGAAUAGUGAAAUCUGGUGGCUCAACCAUCAGGCUAUUAUUCGAACUCACGAACUCGAGAGUAGCAGAGGUAACUGGAAUUUCUUGUGUAGGAGUGAAAUCCGUAGAUAUAAGAAGGAACACCAAUGGCGUAAGCAGGUUACUGGGCUAUUUCUGACGCUAAGGCACGAAAGCGUGGGGAGCGAACCGG
rnacentral:rRNA from 1 species